AUUGAACGCUGGCGGCAGGCCUAACACAUGCAAGUCGAACGGUAGCACAGAGAGCUUGCUCUCGGGUGACGAGUGGCGGACGGGUGGGUAAUGUCUGGGAAACUGCCCGAUGGAGGGGGAUAACUACUGGAAACGGUAGCUAAUACCGCAUAAUGUCGCAAGACCAAAGAGGGGGACCUUCGGGCCUCUUGCCAUCGGAUGUGCCCAGAUGGGAUUAGCUUGUUGGUGAGGUAAUGGCUCACCAAGGCGACGAUCCCUAGCUGGUCUGAGAGGAUGACCAGCCACACUGGAACUGAGACACGGUCCAGACUCCUACGGGAGGCAGCAGUGGGGAAUAUUGCACAAUGGGCGCAAGCCUGAUGCAGCCAUGCCGCGUGUGUGAAGAAGGCCUUCGGGUUGUAAAGCACUUUCAGCGGGGAGGAAGGCGAUACGGUUAAUAACCGUGUUGAUUGACGUUACCCGCAGAAGAAGCACCGGCUAACUCCGUG
rnacentral:rRNA from 1 species